UGGGGAAUAUUGGACAAUGGGGGCAACCCUGAUCCAGCCAUGCCGCGUGAGUGAUGAAGGCCUUCGGGUUGUAAAGCUCUUUUGGCGGGGACGAUGAUGACGGUACCCGCAGAAUAAGCCCCGGCUAACUUCGUGCCAGCAGCCGCGGUAAGACGAAGGGGGCUAGCGUUGUUCGGAAUUACUGGGCGUAAAGCGAGUGUAGGCGGUUGCCGUAGUCAGGUGUGAAAGCCUUGAGCUCAACUCAAGAAAUGCACUUGAUACUGGGUGACUAGAGGACCGGAGAGGAUAGUGGAAUUCCCAGUGUAGUGGUGAAAUACGUAGAGAUUGGGAAGAACACCAGUGGCGAAGGCGGCUAUCUGGACGGUUACUGACGCUAAGACUCGAAAGCGUGGGGAGCAAACAGGAUUAGAUACCCUGGUAGUCCACGCCGUAAACGAUGGGUGCUAGACGUUGGCGAGCUUGCUCGUCAGUGUCGCAGCUAACGCGUUAAGCACCCCCGCCUGGGGAGUACGGCCGCAAGGUUGAAACUCAAAUGAAUUGACGGGGGUCAUAGCUGUUUCCU
rnacentral:rRNA from 1 species